UACGUAGGUGGCGAGCGUUAUCCGGAAUUAUUGGGCGUAAAGAGCGCGCAGGUGGUUGAUUAAGUCUGAUGUGAAAGCCCACGGCUUAACCGUGGAGGGUCAUUGGAAACUGGUCAACUUGAGUGCAGAAGAGGGAAGUGGAAUUCCAUGUGUAGUGGUGAAAUGCGUAGAGAUAUGGAGGAACACCAGUGGCGAAGGCGGCUUCCUGGUCUGUAACUGACACUGAGGCGCGAAAGCGUGGGGAGCAAACAGGAUUAGAUACCCCGGUA
rnacentral:rRNA from 1 species